rnacentral:rRNA from 1 species
CCUACGUGAGGCAGCAGUGGGGAAUAUUGGGCAAUGGGCGCAAGCCUGACCCAGCAACGCCGCGUGAAGGAAGAAGGCUUUCGGGUUGUAAACUUCUUUUCUCAGGGACGAAGCAAGUGACGGUACCUGAGGAAUAAGCCACGGCUAACUACGUGCCAGCAGCCGCGGUAAUACGUAGGUGGCAAGCGUUAUCCGGAUUUACUGGGGGUAAAGGGCGUGUAGGCGGGACCGCAAGUCAGAUGUGAAAACCAGGGGCUCAACCUAUGGCCUGCAUUUGAAACUGUAGUUCGUGAGUACUGGAGAGGCAGACGGAAGUCCUAGUGUAGCUGUGAAAUGCGUAGAUAUUAGGAGGAACACCAGGGGCGAAGGCGGUCUGCUGGACAGCAACUGACGCUGAGGCGCGAAAGCGUGGGGAGCAAACAGGAUUAGAUACCCUUGUAGUC